rnacentral:rRNA from 1 species
AUUGAACGCUGGCGGCAGGCCUAACACAUGCAAGUCGAACGAGUGGCGGACGGGUGAGUCAUGUCUGGGAAACUGCCCGAUGGAGGGGGAUAACUACUGGAAACGGUAGCUAAUACCGCAUACCAUCGGAUUUGCCCAGAUGGGAGUCGCUAGUAGGUGGGGUAACGGCUCACCUAGGAGACGAUCCCUACCUGGUCUGAGAGGAUGACCAGCCACACUGGAACUGAGACACGGCCCAGACUCCUACGGGAGGCAGCAGUGGGGAAUAUUGCACAAUGGGCGCAAGCCUGAUGCAGCCACGCCGCGUGUAUGAAGAAGGCUUUCGGGUUGUAAAGUACUUUCAGCGAGGAGGCGUUACUCGCAGAAGAAGCACCGGCUAACUCCGUGCCAGCCGCCGCGGUAAUUC